GUUUGGGAGAGUUCUGAAAAAUUCUAACAAGCCUUCUUUGUUUAUCUUCUCUAGGCUUCCGCAGCCGGUCUGCAUGUAGUUGGGAUAAAUUCAGCCCAGGAGGAAAAUCAGCGCUGCCUCCCCCUCUCUCCUCCCAUUUUAGGUGAGAGGAGGAGGUGCCGUGGGGGUAGAGAAAGAUCUGGAGAGCUCGCCAGCUGGUCUAGACGUUUCCCUUCUGCAUAAUCAAAUCCCUUCUGAAUCAAUCCACGGUUGGUAGGGCCAGUGCACUUGGAAGCUCGAGUGUGUAUCUGAGUAAGGACCGCAUAGAUGCUACCUCAGGAGGAAGAGGGUAGACCCAUAAAGACAGGGCUGGGGCCUAGGUAGAUCAUGCAGAUUGAAGUAUCCUGCAAGCAGCUUUGCCAGCUGUGAGCUGUACAUAUCAAGAGGCUGAGACCAUCAGAGAGAUCGAGCUCAGCUGAUCACAGAUGUCUUUUAUUUGUUGUAUGCUAAAACUCUGGCUAUAGUGUUAAUUGCUAUUAAAAACUGUGGCCCUGGGUCUUUUCUGUAGG
rnacentral:lncRNA from 1 species